GGACCCGCACAAGUAGUGGAGCAUGUGGUUUAAUUCGAAGAUACGCGCAGAACCUUACCAACACUUGACAUGUUCGUCGCGACUUUAAGAGAUUAAAGUUUUCGGUUCGGCCGGACGAAACACAGGUGCUGCAUGGCUGUCGUCAGCUCGUGUCGUGAGAUGUUGGGUUAAGUCCCGCAACGAGCGCAACCCUCACUUUUAGUUGCCAUCAUUAAGUUGGGCACUCUGAAAGAACUGCCAGUGAUAAGCUGGAGGAAGGUGGGGAUGACGUCAAGUCCUCAUGGCCCUUACGUGUUGGGCUACACACGUGCUACAAUGGUAUCUACAACAGGAAGCAAAACUGCGAGGUUAAGCAAAUCCUCAAAGAUACCUCAGUUCGGAUUGCACUCUGCAACUCGAGUGCAUGAAGCUGGAAUU
rnacentral:rRNA from 1 species